ACGGGGCCCGCACAAGCGGUGGAGCAUGUGGUUUAAUUCGAUGAUACGCGAGGAACCUUACCUGGGCUCAAAUGUAUGUUGACGUAUUCUGAAAGGGAUACUUCUUCGGACAAUAUACAAGGUGCUGCAUGGUUGUCGUCAGCUCGUGCCGUGAGGUGUCGGGUUAAGUCCCAUAACGAGCGCAACCCCUAUCAUUAGUUGCCAUCAGGUCAAGCUGGGGACUCUAAUGAAACUGCCUACGCAAGUAGUGAGGAAGGUGGGGAUGACGUCAAAUCAGCACGGCCCUUACGUCCAGGGCUACACACGUGCUACAAUGGCCGGUACAAAGGGCAGCUACCUGGUGACAGGAUGCAAAUCUCCAAAGUCGGUCUCAGUUCGGAUCGGAGUCUGCAACCCGACUCCGUGAAGUUGGAUUCGCUAGUAAUCGCGCAUCAGCCAUGGCGCGGUGAAUACGUUCCCGGGCCUU
rnacentral:rRNA from 1 species